CAGAAAUUCAGCCCUCCAGAUCCUCCCAGGCUUCUAGACAACAAGCAAAAACAACUUUAGAUGUUGGAACUGUGUGAAGGGGCCCACGAGGGCCUUUCAUAGAUUUUCCAGUUACAUUUUUUUUUUUUUUAAGGCAAGUCAUCCUUUGAAUGGCAAACAUGGAGAACCAGCUGUUUACUUAUGUCUAAAAUGUAAAUCUUCCCAGAAUUGAAUUUGGUUUGGGUCCAGUGGGGUUGCAAGGUUCCUGGAUGAUUUCUUUAAGACAAUUCUUGGGUGGAGCUGGGCUGUCUUCAGAAGAGGAGCUGGAAUUUUCCUUCAGUCCCCACAAGCCCUCAAGGUCUUGGCAGCACAUUGUCCUUGGCCUCCAACUUGCUUCUCCGCUUUCUAAGGCCGUUCCAUUUUCUGGGAGUCUUUCUGCUCCUUUCCAGCCCCCUUCCUACGUGUUUCCAGGCUCUCUCUCCAUCUCAGGAAACAAACUCACACCUGCCUGGAGUCAGCCUUUUCUGCUACCUCCUCAGGUCCACCUAUAGCAAACGAAGCAUCAGUCAUCAUCCCUUGUGAUACGUGAGGCUGCUGGCCUUUAAUUCAACAGACUUCCAGUCUUAGGAGAAGUAGAGCGUCUGACUCAGGGAAGGGCAGGGGCUGAGAGACAAGCCUUGUAAUUAAACUAAGAUGUUGGAGUAUUUCUGUGUGUGCCCUUAGUCUUAAAACACAGUGUACUUUUGGACAUAUAUCUAGUUAUAAGGAACCUGUCUAUCAUGAAUUCUAUAAACAUGGUGAUAAAUUCUCUAAAUUUCAAACUGGAACACAUCAUCCAGCUAAAAGUGUUUUGUUUUGUUUUGUUAUCAGCCAUGCCACGCAGCACGCAGAUCUUCAUUCCCCAACCAGAGACUGAAGGUUUGGGAAUGCAGAGUCUUAACCACGGGACCAAGAGGGAAGUUCCAAAGAUUUUGUAAGUGUGUGUGUGUGUGUGUGUGUGUGUGUGUGUGUGUGUGUGAAGUCAAUUAAUCUUUAUGAGCUAUAUAUCCCAGUUAGUUAGUCAAUAACAGAAAUCUUUUACUGGAGAAAAUAGAAUUUUCUAAAAUCACGACUGUACCAGGAGAGCUGGCAUGGAGGUAAACAUCCAUGACUCCAUGUGGCACUUAGAUUGCAGAUCCAUCCUGAAGAAUGUUUUUGAUUCACUUAUUAUUCUUACAGAUCUGAUCUUUCAUAAUUCUCUUGUGAAUCUGGGCAUGGUCCACUCUGCCAGUUAUUUUUUUUUUAAAAGCUGUUAUCACUCAAUGAACAUUAGUGAAUGAAGUUGCAAGAUAGGUUUUUUGUUUGUUUGUUUGUUUUUUUAAUCUCUUUCAAAACUGUAGUUUUCCCACCUGGAGACACUGUCCACAACCCUCUAGGGCGUGAAUAUGUUUCAGAGUCAUGGGACUCCUUGUUGACCCAAGCAUUCCAAACUUGUGUGUCAUACAGCAGUGGAGAACGAAUCCAAGUCUGAAAGCCAC
ensembl:lncRNA